rnacentral:rRNA from 1 species
AAAAGCAGGGGAUCGCAAGACCUUGCGCUUUUGGAGCGGCCGAUGUCUGAUUAGCUAGUUGGUGAGGUAAAGGCUUACCAAGGCUUCGAUCAGUAGCUGGUAUGAGAGGACGACCAGCCACACUGGGACUGAGACACGGCCCAGACUCCUACGGGAGGCAGCAGUGGGGAAUUUUGGACAAUGGGGGAAACCCUGAUCCAGCCAUGCCGCGUGAGUGAAGAAGGCCUUAGGGUUGUAAAGCUCUUUCAGCCGGAACGAAAAGGUUACGGUUAAUACCCGUGACUAAUGACGGUACCGGAAGAAGAAG